UACGUAGGGUGCGAGCGUUAAUCGGAAUUACUGGGCGUAAAGCGUGCGCAGGCGGCUUCGCAAGUCAGACGUGAAAUCCCCGGGCUUAACCUGGGAAUGGCGUUUGAAACUACGGAGCUGGAGUAUGGCAGAGGGGGGUGGAAUUCCACGUGUAGCGGUGAAAUGCGUAGAUAUGUGGAGGAACACCGAUGGCGAAGGCAGCCCCCUGGGCCAAUACUGACGCUCAUGCACGAAAGCGUGGGAGCAAACAGG
rnacentral:rRNA from 1 species